rnacentral:lncRNA from 10 species
GGAGAGCCUAAGAUGCUGUGAGGCAAAAUGUCAUCAUACGGAUUCUUUGUGCAAAAGUGUUAGGAAGAGCACAAAAAGAGCACCCAGAUGCUUCUGUAAGCUUCUCAGAAGAACUCAGAGAGGUGGAAGACCACGUCUGCUAAAGAGAAAGGAAAAUUUGAAGACAUAGCAAAGGUGGACUAGGCUUGUUAAGAAAGACGAAUGAAACCUAUGUCCCCUGUAAAGGAGAAACAAGUCUAGGAGCCCAACGCACCCAAGAUUCCUCCUUUGACUUUUUUCCUGUUCUGCUCUAAGCAUCACGCAAAAAUCAAAGAACAUCCAUUGGUGAUGUAGCAAAGAAACAGGGAGAUGUGGAAUAACGCUGCUGCAGAUGACAAGCUGCCUUAUGAAAAGUCUUUGAAGCUGAAGGAAAAAGACAAAAAGGAUAUUGCUGCAUAGUGAGCUAAAGAAAAGCCUGAUGCAGCAAAAAAGGGAGUUGUCAAGGCUGAAAAAUGCAAGA